rnacentral:rRNA from 1 species
UACGUAGGGCGCAAGCGUUGUCCGGAAUUAUUGGGCGUAAAGAGCUCGUAGGCGGUCUGUCACGUCUGCCGUGAAAACCCGAGGCUUAACCUCGUGGCUUGCGGUGGAUACGGGCAGACUAGAGGUAGGUAGGGGAGAACGGAAUUCCCGGUGUAGCGGUGAAAUGCGCAGAUAUCGGGAGGAACACCGGCGGCGAAAGCGGUUCUCUGGGCCUUACCUGACGCUGAGGAGCGAAAGCAUGGGGAGCGAACAGG